GACGAACGCUGGCGGCGUGCUUAACACAUGCAAGUCGAACGGAAAGGCCCUGCUUUUGUGGGGUGCUCGAGUGGCGAACGGGUGAGUAACACGUGAGUAACCUGCCCUUGACUUUGGGAUAACUUCAGGUAACUGGGGCUAAUACCGGAUAGCAGCGCCUGCUGCAUUGUGGGGGUUGGAAAGUUUCGGCGGUGGGGGAUGGACUCGCGGCUUAUCAGCUUGUUGGUGGGGUAGUGGCUUACCAAGGCUUUGACGGGUAGCCGGCCUGAGAGGGUGACCGGCCACAUUGGGACUGAGACACGGCCCAGACUCGUACGGGAGGCAGCAGUGGGGAAUAUUGCACAAUGGGCGGAAGCCUGAUGAAGCAACGCCGCGUGCGGGAUGACGGCCUUCGGGUUGUAAACCGCUUUCGCCUGUGACGAAGCGUGAGUGACGGUAAUGGGUAAAGAAGCACCGGCUAACUACGUG
rnacentral:rRNA from 1 species